ensembl:lincRNA
GGAGGCGAGGCCUCUGAAAGGGGAUCAGGUCAUGGGAGUGGAGUCAUCAUGAAUGGGAUUAGUGCCUUUAUAAAAGUGACACAACAGAGACCUCUCACUCCUUCCACCCUGUGAGCUCAGAGUAAGAAGACAGCUGUUCCUGAGGAAGAGGCCCUCAGCAGACACUAAGUCUGCUGGUGCGGUGAGCUCAGACAUCCCAGCCUCCAGAAUGGUGAGAAAUACGUUCCUGUUGUUUACUAGCCACCCAGUCUAUAGUAUUUUGUUAUAGCAGCCCAAACAAACUAACUCAGCGGCUUAUGUCUGGUUUGCAGAGAGAAUCACCAGGCCAACCCAGCACCCCAGACAGAUGGGCCACGGUGACUGCCAGCUGGCCCCUGGUGCUCGCCGGCCAUGCCCAGGAGAAAAAGUACCUUUGCUUCCCCUUUGGUGUCUUGCUCGUGAUGGUGUGCAAUGCUUGCUGGUUGAAUAAGAUGUUCAGUCAGUUUAGCUAAUGAUACCUCAACUGGCUCAAGUGAUCUUCACUGAGAGCCUGUCAGAAGAAAUACCUGAGAUACUUGGAUGAAAGUCACUGCAAAUACUUCAGGAACUCAAAACACCAACAGAAUGAAUUAGAAGCCUUCUUUUCUGCUGUGGGACCCAGAGCCAAAAAUACUGGUCAAUUUUCUAAGAUGGGAAAAGUAAAACUGAGAGCAAAACUCUAUUACAGAAAGGAACUUGGAAAUUUGGCAAAUAUUUGUAUAAUUUCUACCCCCAAUGAGAUCUGGUUAUGGAUUUUAUAUUGAUUAAACCAAUGGAAAC